GGUUAAGCGACUAAGCGUACACGGUGGAUGCCCUGGCAGUCAGAGGCGAUGAAGGACGUGCUAAUCUGCGAUAAGCGUCGGUAAGGUGAUAUGAACCGUUAUAACCGGCGAUUUCCGAAUGGGGAAACCCAGUGUGAUUCGUCACACUAUCAUUAACUGAAUCCAUAGGUUAAUGAGGCGAACCGGGGGAACUGAAACAUCUAAGUACCCCGAGGAAAAGAAAUCAACCGAGAUUCCCCCAGUAGCGGCGAGCGAACGGGGAGCAGCCCAGAGCCUGAAUCAGUGUGUGUGUUAGUGGAAGCGUCUGGAAAGGCGCGCGAUACAGGGUGACAGCCCCGUACACAAAAAUGCACAUACUGUGAGCUCGAUGAGUAGGGCGGGACACGUGGUAUCCUGUCUGAAUAUGGGGGGACCAUCCUCCAAGGCUAAAUACUCCUGACUGACCGAUAGUGAACCAGUACCGUGAGGGAAAGGCGAAAAGAACCCCGGCGAGGGGAGUGAAAAAGAACCUGAAACCGUGUACGUACAAGCAGUGGGAGCACAGAGCAAUCUGUGUGACUGCGUACCUUUUGUAUAAUGGGUCAGCGACUUAUAUUCUGUAGCAAGGUUAACCGAAUAGGGGAGCCGAAGGGAAACCGAGUCUUAACUGGGCGUUAAGUUGCAGGGUAUAGACCCGAAACCCGGUGAUCUAGCCAUGGGCAGGUUGAAGGUUGGGUAACACUAACUGGAGGACCGAACCGACUAAUGUUGAAAAAUUAGCGGAUGACUUGUGGCUGGGGGUGAAAGGCCAAUCAAACCGGGAGAUAGCUGGUUCUCCCCGAAAGCUAUUUAGGUAGCGCCUCGUGAAUUCAUCUCCGGGGGUAGAGCACUGUUUCGGCAAGGGGGUCAUCCCGACUUACCAACCCGAUGCAAACUGCGAAUACCGGAGAAUGUUAUCACGGGAGACACACGGCGGGUGCUAACGUCCGUCGUGAAGAGGGAAACAACCCAGACCGCCAGCUAAGGUCCCAAAGUCAUGGUUAAGUGGGAAACGAUGUGGGAAGGCCCAGACAGCCAGGAUGUUGGCUUAGAAGCAGCCAUCAUUUAAAGAAAGCGUAAUAGCUCACUGGUCGAGUCGGCCUGCGCGGAAGAUGUAACGGGGCUAAACCAUGCACCGAAGCUGCGGCAGCGACGCUUAUGCGUUGUUGGGUAGGGGAGCGUUCUGUAAGCCUGUGAAGGUGUACUGUGAGGUAUGCUGGAGGUAUCAGAAGUGCGAAUGCUGACAUAAGUAACGAUAAAGCGGGUGAAAAGCCCGCUCGCCGGAAGACCAAGGGUUCCUGUCCAACGUUAAUCGGGGCAGGGUGAGUCGACCCCUAAGGCGAGGCCGAAAGGCGUAGUCGAUGGGAAACAGGUUAAUAUUCCUGUACUUGGUGUUACUGCGAAGGGGGGACGGAGAAGGCUAUGUUGGCCGGGCGACGGUUGUCCCGGUUUAAGCGUGUAGGCUGGUUUUCCAGGCAAAUCCGGAAAAUCAAGGCUGAGGCGUGAUGACGAGGCACUACGGUGCUGAAGCAACAAAUGCCCUGCUUCCAGGAAAAGCCUCUAAGCAUCAGGUAACAUCAAAUCGUACCCCAAACCGACACAGGUGGUCAGGUAGAGAAUACCAAGGCGCUUGAGAGAACUCGGGUGAAGGAACUAGGCAAAAUGGUGCCGUAACUUCGGGAGAAGGCACGCUGAUAUGUAGGUGAAGUCCCUCGCGGAUGGAGCUGAAAUCAGUCGAAGAUACCAGCUGGCUGCAACUGUUUAUUAAAAACACAGCACUGUGCAAACACGAAAGUGGACGUAUACGGUGUGACGCCUGCCCGGUGCCGGAAGGUUAAUUGAUGGGGUUAGCGCAAGCGAAGCUCUUGAUCGAAGCCCCGGUAAACGGCGGCCGUAACUAUAACGGUCCUAAGGUAGCGAAAUUCCUUGUCGGGUAAGUUCCGACCUGCACGAAUGGCGUAAUGAUGGCCAGGCUGUCUCCACCCGAGACUCAGUGAAAUUGAACUCGCUGUGAAGAUGCAGUGUACCCGCGGCAAGACGGAAAGACCCCGUGAACCUUUACUAUAGCUUGACACUGAACAUUGAGCCUUGAUGUGUAGGAUAGGUGGGAGGCUUUGAAGUGUGGACGCCAGUCUGCAUGGAGCCGACCUUGAAAUACCACCCUUUAAUGUUUGAUGUUCUAACGUGGACCCGUAAUCCGGGUUGCGGACAGUGUCUGGUGGGUAGUUUGACUGGGGCGGUCUCCUCCUAAAGAGUAACGGAGGAGCACGAAGGUUGGCUAAUCCUGGUCGGACAUCAGGAGGUUAGUGCAAUGGCAUAAGCCAGCUUGACUGCGAGCGUGACGGCGCGAGCAGGUGCGAAAGCAGGUCAUAGUGAUCCGGUGGUUCUGAAUGGAAGGGCCAUCGCUCAACGGAUAAAAGGUACUCCGGGGAUAACAGGCUGAUACCGCCCAAGAGUUCAUAUCGACGGCGGUGUUUGGCACCUCGAUGUCGGCUCAUCACAUCCUGGGGCUGAAGUAGGUCCCAAGGGUAUGGCUGUUCGCCAUUUAAAGUGGUACGCGAGCUGGGUUUAGAACGUCGUGAGACAGUUCGGUCCCUAUCUGCCGUGGGCGCUGGAGAAUUGAGGGGGGCUGCUCCUAGUACGAGAGGACCGGAGUGGACGCAUCACUGGUGUUCGGGUUGUCAUGCCAAUGGCACUGCCCGGUAGCUAAAUGCGGAAGAGAUAAGUGCUGAAAGCAUCUAAGCACGAAACUUGCCCCGAGAUGAGUUCUCCCUGACUCCUUGAGAGUCCUGAAGGAACGUUGAAGACGACGACGUUGAUAGGCCGGGUGUGUAAGCGCAGCGAUGCGUUGAGCUAACCGGUACUAAUGAACCGUGAGGCUUAACCUU
rnacentral:rRNA from 1 species